UGACCAAAAUGAUCACCUCAUAAUACUCUAAGAAUGAUUCCUUAUUCCUUAAUUGAAAUCCAUAAAUUGUGAUAAUUCUCCCAGCCCCAUAUUACAUAAAUUCUUUGGUUUUAUGUAUGUUGUGAGUUAUUUUUUGUAAAUGUUAAAGGGACUUGAACAAGAUUUUAUUUAAAACUUUUAUUUCAUAUUUCUUUUAUGCAAAAAAUGGUUUACCUGCGCAAUAUGAAUGAUAGACAAAAAUUUAAUGUUAGAAGUCAAUUUAUAAGAGAGAAACGGAGGUUAAGAAUUCAUUGUUUUGUAAACAAAGCUUGAGUCUUAUAUUUGUUUACAAGAAAUGUAAAGUAUGGAAUAAACAUUUCUUUAACAAAAACACUUGUGGCAAUUAAACAAGGUAAACUGAUUCAAUGUGAUCAUAAAUAAUAUUAUCAACAGAAGAAAGCAACAUUUGGUUGAAUUAUAUACCAAUAAAACACAAUAAUAAGGCGCAAGCUCUUUUUUUUUUUUACAAAACAAAGAACUCCAAACUCUGUAUCUUGCUUAUAACUCAAUAUUUGACUUUCAAAUUUUGACAAAGCAUUAAAAUUACCCAUAUUAACAAUUCUAAACAUUAAAAAUAGAAAAUCAAAUUGAAAAUUUUGAGCUCAAAGCGUGUCCAAGUCCCUUGGCUUCAAUAGUUUUGUGUUGCAUGUUGUGAAAAAAUAAGCAUGAGGUGUGUUCUUGCACCUAUGGAAAGAUUAUUCAAUGUUUAAAUAAUAACUUAGUACUGUGUUUAUAUAUAGCUUAAACUGUUUAAUUGGGAAUCUAUGUGGGGAAAUGCCUUAAAGAAUGUUAGAAUCUAUGUUUACUCAGUAUGUUUUGUAGAGCCUUAUGAGAUACAUCUGCUUGGGACAAUUUGUUUAUUAUUUUGUAUGGCCUUCAGGUUAUAGAGAUUUCCUUUGUUUUAUUUUUGGAUAUUCUUUAUUAAGUUCUGAGAUAUAUUGUGUGUAACAUUUUUUACUAGGAUAUGUGAUACUUCUAUACUUAAUUUUACUCUUUAAAAGAUAUAUUAUAUAUAUAUAUAUAUACGGGCGACUUUUGAUUGUAAGUCAUUAGUAAGAAUAAUUGUCAAUGUAUUUCAUAAUCUUUAUUAUGCUUUAAAUAAAUAUCGCAUAAAAAUUC
rnacentral:sRNA from 1 species